UGGGGAUUGGUGAGGUGAAAUGAGGUGAAAGGGGUGGUUUGGGUCGGGUUUGGAUCUCAACGACCAAGUGCCGUGGUCAGGGGCUGCACGACCGCGACAAUCAAGCACUUGGCCGCGGUCAGGAUUACGCGACCGCGGCCGACGGUAGGUUUCCCACGGUCAGAACGUCUGCGACCGCGGGGGCUUAUAUCGCGGCCUCUUCCUGCUUCUCC
rnacentral:lncRNA from 1 species